rnacentral:misc_RNA from 1 species
GGCGCACUGAUCCCAUAAUCCUCUCCAGCUCUGAACCCAAAGGGACCAAAGCUAACAUAUUAAACAGAACAUGCAGUAGAGAACCAUGAAACAGAAUUGAGGUGAAAAUCCUGUAAACUUGAAAUCGAGAAAUUACAGCAGAUGGCCAGAAGCAUACUUCAGCAAAUGAGUCAUACCCAACCAGAAGACAAACCAAGUAUAUUAUCCCACAAACAACCACUAUUGCAGAUGUAAGGAUAGGAAUUCCUUCCCACCACUGUCCCAUCCUUGUCUGUAGUCCCGCCUCAGAAACAAUAUUUGGUCUCAUUUUCGCUGAGUUUUUUCUUCUUCUUCUUC